UAGGUAAAAACCUGGUUUCAGAACAGAAGAGCAAAGUGGAGGCGAUUAAAACAGGAAGUACCGACGGGGAAGGGAGAAGGUGAUGAGAGGGACGACGAGAUCAAGUCACAUCAACCGAAUCAGCAACCAUCUCACCAUCCCCUAGGUGAUAACAGGAACGGUUCCGUGACCGACCUCGAGGAUGAUCGUCGAGAUACAGCGUACUAUCGUAUCCCAAAUGGUGACUCCCUUGACCAUGACAGUGAUUAUGACCGUGAUGCUUGAUGGAAGGUAUCCUCAGAGUGGCUUUUCUUGUUGCUUGAUCGGAGCGCCCAAGCCUCAUGUGCCACGGCGUACGUAGAUCUCCUCGUCCUCUUCUGUAGACAUUAGGCACUUCCGAGGCCACCUUUUCUCUAUCAACCCUAGAGACUUGAUAAAAGGUUCCAUCGCGCUCUUGUUGUGGCGCUGGGUCUCUGCUUAUGAACUAUGCUGUAUGAAUGCGACUAGUGGAUGAAGUAAGUUCGGCGCCGCUGUGCUCGAAGCAUUUUAGAAACAUCUGGUGAUCGAUGUUAGACUUGUCGACUCCUACAACCAUGUUCCGUAGAGACUCAAUGAGAUUCGAUUGUACAGACAGGCAUGUUAUGACUUCUUCAGUUCUGUAUUGUAUGUACAAUCUACGAAACGGACAGUUUCUUCUUCUCGCGAUGUUAUGUCCAUUCAGUACGAACCGUUGGACACAAUCUAGAAAUGGCACUUGUGAACUCUGAAAACAUCACUGAACGGUACACGCUCCUCGUGAUAUAGACUGCCGAUCCAAGUUGCAGAUGUCAUGGUUUUACUCCCAAGGAUAAAUUAUACGAAGAUCUUUACCUAUAUGGUGCCUAAAUGUUUGCUUUCCACAUUACCUGUCAUUGGUGUUCAAUAAGGAGUCCUUCGCCCUUCAUGAAUAGGUGCGCCAAAGAACAACUUUGAAUAUUACGAUGAUAGUGAACAAGUUAGGAAAAAAAAACACAGAAUAGACAGUAUACGUGUAUCGCGUGUGUUUAAUGUGUUCUCUGUUAUUCUUUAACAUGUAAAAUACAUUCUAAAACUUCCAAGCUUAAUUGUUACCGGUUAUACCACCAUUAAAAUUUUAACACUAAAUUAGUUCACUCUUUCCGCGAUCUAUGAAUGCGUCACAGAAAAAACUUAUGAAUUCCGCAGUAAAUAUACUGCUGCAAAUAUAACAAUCACUGAAGUUGUUGCAUUAUUGGAAAUCAUAAUAAAUAAUUCAUUCUGUUUCUUUUGCUUAAUUGAGUUUAGUUGCUUUCUUAUGGUAUAAGUUUAUGAUAUCACAACUUCAAAUAUAUUUUGAUAUUUGCAUUCUGAGCCAAUGAAGUGAUUUAUAAAGGUAUUCAUAUUCUAAAACUCGUGUUUUCUUCAGGCAAAUCAGAGACAGAUGUAUUUGUCCGUUCAUUCUUAAUCUUUUCUGUUAUCUCUAUCAUCACUUUUAUAUCUCUGAGAUAUUUUUAGAUAUCGAAUCAGCAUGAUAGACACAGAUUCUUCGUGCGGAUGAAAUCGUCUUUUACUGUAAAAAAUAUAUCAUUCCUUUUCAUAAUUUCUCAAAUUUCAUAUACUUUCUCAUUCUAAUUUACGUUUUCUUGUAACAUAAUUAAACUUGAGUUUCUAACAAAAACAUAGGCAUCACAUUACAUGAAAUAACUUUUCAAACUAAUGCGACAAUAUGCAACAACGAAAAAUAAAGUGAAGAAGUGGAAGAGAAAGACGAAUGAAGGCAUUUCAUGAUUAUUGUCAUUAUGAUUACUAUCAUUAUGAUCAUGAUAAAUUUGUAUAAGCACCUUGAGCAUUGUCCACGUGUUUUUUUUGUAUGUUUUACGCGGUCGGCUAUGAGCUGCAUACCUGUUUAUAACGAAAUAUUCGUUUUAGAUAGACCAGUUUAAUGAUAUAGGUGUUUUCUGAAGAUUCCACAUUGUAAUAUAAAGACCGUAGUUGCCGGAGAAAGCCAGGAUCUUCUUAAGUUUUAAUUAAAACAUCUGCAUUUAUGUGACUGAAACUCUGUGCUUUCGUAUUCCAGCCAAUGCAUUACUGUUAGAACGAGUUUUAGAUCGUUAAAAGUAAGCGUCGUAUUAUUGUUGGUAUACAUCAACAUAAAGAUAGUAUGAUUAGAACGGGUAAUAUUUGAUUCUUAGGUGAUGAAUUUUGAGACAUCAAUGAUUUAGACCACGAUGUUAAGAAUUAACUGAUGUAAAAUCCCUCUAUUAAGGGAAUGUAUGUCAUUUCAAAAUUUCAACAACAGAACAUGUUUAUGAAAGUGAAAUGAAGUGACAAUAUUGACUUCUUUCUCAAGUAUCAUACAGUUUUUUUUGUACAUUUCAUGCUGACGUCACAUGUCAAUCAUCAAUCCAAAGUAUGCAAUGCAUGAUUCAGUUGUCGGUCAAAAACUUCAUGUCUGGAUUCACCGUACAACAUUUUGGUAUUUCUGUAAAAAUGCUACUUUGUAAAAUAAAACUUUCAAUCAUAAUGAAUUACUGAAUAUAAAAUGAUCAGUAAGAACGAUUGAAUUGUGCCAUGGUGCCAUGUCAGGCAAUUAAAUCUACUGUAAAAUCUGAUUAUCUCUGUACAGUGACAACUUGGUACUAUAUCACACAAUAAUGUUUAUUUCAAUAAACAAUUGAAUAUAA